rnacentral:rRNA from 1 species
GAGGCAGCAGCAAGGAAUUUUGGGCAAUGGGCGAAACCCCGACCCAGCAACGCCGCGUGAGGGAUGAAGGCUUUCGGGUUGUAAACCUCUUUUCAUAGGGAAGAAUAAUGACGGUACCUGUGGAAUAAGCUUCGGCUAACUACCUGCCAGCAACCGCGGUAAUACGUAGGAAGCAAGCGUUAUCCGGAUUUAUUGGGCGUAAAGUGAGCGUAGGUGGUCUUUCAAGUUGGAUGUGAAAUUUCCCGGCUUAACCGGGACGAGUCAUUCAAUACUGUUGGACUAGAGUACAGCAGGAGAAAACGGAAUUCCCGGUGUAGUGGUAAAAUGCGUAGAUAUCGGGAGGAACACCAGAGGCGAAGGCGGUUUUAUAGGUUGUCAAUGACACUGAGGCUCGAAAGCGCGGGGAGCGAACAGAAUUAGAUACUCUGGUAGUCCACGCCUUAAACUAUGGACACUAGGUAUAGGGAGUAUCGACCCUCUCUGUGCCGAAGCUAACGCUUUAAGUGUCCCGCC